rnacentral:RNase_P_RNA from 1 species
GAAGCGGGACAGAUAGCCGCGCUUGUUUAGGCAAGUGAGGAAAGUCCGAACACCGCAGGGCAGGGUGCCGGAUAACGUCCGGAGAAGGUGACUUCUGGAAAGUGCCACAGAAAAGAACCGCCUGUUUCGGCAGGUAAGGGUGAAAAGGCGAGGUAAGAGCUCACCGCUUCUGCGGUAACGCAGAAGGCAGGGUAAACCCCACCCGGUGCAAAACCAAAUAGGAGGGAUUGCGGCGGCCCGUCGCGCACCCUCGGGUAGGUUGCAGGAGGCAGAUGGCGACAUCUGUCCCAGAUAAAUGGCUAUCCGGCUGCUUAGUCAGCUGACAGAAUUCGGCUUACCGUCCCGCUUCUUAG